rnacentral:RNase_P_RNA from 1 species
GCCGACGGAAAGUGCAACAGAAAGUAUACCGCCUAAGCGCCUUCGGGCGCCGGUAAGGGUGAAAUGGUGCGGUAAGAGCGCACCGCAUGGCUGGUAACAGUCCAUGGCGAUGGUAAACCCCACCUGGAGCAAGACCAAAUAGGAGUCCAAUGGCGUGGCCCGCGCUGGACUCGGGUAGGUUGCUUGAGGCCUGUGGUGACGCAGGUCCUAGAUGAAUGACUGUCCUCGACAGAACCCGGCUUAUCGGCGGGCUCAAUUU